UGCCUAUACAUGCAAGUCGAACGCACAGCGAAAGGUGCUUGCACCUUUCAAGUGAGUGGCGAACGGGUGAGUAACACGUGGACAACCUGCCUCAAGGCUGGGGAUAACAUUUGGAAACAGAUGCUAAUACCGAAUGAAACUUAGUGUCGCAUGAUACGAAGUUAAAAGGCGCUUUGGCGUCACCUAGAGAUGGAUCCGCGGUGCAUUAGUUAGUUGGUGGGGUAAAGGCCUACCAAGACAAUGAUGCAUAGCGGAGUUGAGAGACUGAUCGGCCACAUUGGGACUGAGACACGGCCCAAAUUCCUACGGGAGGCUGCAGUAGGGAAUCUUCCACAAUGGGCGAAAGCCUGAUGGAGCAACGCCGCGUGUGUGAUGAAGGCUUUCGGGUCGUAAAGCACUGUUGUAUGGGAAGAACAGCUAGAAUAGGGAAUGAUUUUAGUUUGACGGUACCAUACCAGAAAGGGACGGCUAAAUACGUGCCAGCAGCCGCGGUAAUACGUAUGUCCCGAGCGUUAUCCGGAUCUAUUGGGCGUAAAGCGAGCGCAGACGGUUGAUUAAGUCUGAUGUGAUAGCCCGGAGCUCAACUCCGGAAUGGCAUUGGAAACUGGUUAACUUGAGUGCAGUAGAGGUAAGUGGAACUCCAUGUGUAGCGGUGGAAUGCGUAGAUAUAUGGAAGAACACCAGUGGCGAAGGCGGCUUACUGGACUGUAACUGACGUUGAGGCUCGAAAGUGUGGGUAGCAAACAGGAUUAGAUACCCUGGUAGUCCACACCGUAAACGAUGAACACUAGGUGUUAGGAGGUUUCCGCCUCUUAGUGCCGAAGCUAACGCAUUAAGUGUUCCGCCUGGGGAGUACGACCGCAAGGUUGAAACUCAAAGGAAUUGACGGGGACCCGCACAAGCGGUGGAGCAUGUGGUUUAAUUCGAAGCAACGCGAAGAACCUUACCAGGUCUUGACAUCCUUUGAAGCUUUUAGAGAUAGAAGUGUUCUCUUCGGAGACAAAGUGACAGGUGGUGCAUGGUCGUCGUCAGCUCGUGUCGUGAGAUGUUGGGUUAAGUCCCGCAACGAGCGCAACCCUUAUUGUUAGUUGCCAGCAUUCAGAUGGGCACUCUAGCGAGACUGCCGGUGACAAACCGGAGGAAGGCGGGGACGACGUCAGAUCAUCAUGCCCCUUAUGACCUGGGCUACACACGUGCUACAAUGGCGUAUACAACGAGUUGCCAACCCGCGAGGGUGAGCUAAUUUCUUAAAGUACGUCUCAGUUCGGAUUGUAGUCUGCAACUCGACUACAUGAAGUCGGAAUCGCUAGUAAUCGCGGAUCAGCACGCCGCGGUGAAUACGUUCCCGGGUCUUGUACACACCGCCCGUCACACCAUGGGAGUUUGUAAUGCCCAAAGCCGGUGGCCUAACCUUUUAGGAAGGAGCCGUCUAA
rnacentral:rRNA from 1 species